rnacentral:rRNA from 1 species
AAAGGAAUUGACGGGGGCCCGCACAAGCGGUGGAGCAUGUGGUUUAAUUCGAUGCAACGCGGAGAACCUUACCAGGUCUUGACAUCUGUGGAACCACUACGAAAGUAGAGGGUGCCUUCGGGAGCCACAAGACAGGUGGUGCAUGGUUGUCGUCAGCUCGUGUCGUGAGAUGUUGGGUUAAGUCCCGCAACGAGCGCAACCCUUGCUAUUAGUUGCUAACAGAUAAUGCUGAGCACUCUAAUGGGACUGCCUGUGACAAGCAGGAGGAAGGUGGGGAUGACGUCAAAUCAUCAUGCCCUUUAUGACCUGGGCUACACACGUGCUACAAUGGAUGGUACAAAGAGGAGCAAAACCGCGAGGUCAAGCGAAUCUCAUAAAGCCAUUCUCAGUUCGGAUUGGAGUCUGCAACUCGACUCCAUGAAGUCGGAAUCGCUAGUAAUCGUGAAUCAGAAUGUCACGGUGAAUGCGUUCCCGGGCCUUGUACACACCGCCCGU